rnacentral:sRNA from 1 species
CUCAUCCAAAUAGGUUUGAAUUCAAAGUCAAAACCCAUUUGGAUGAGGUUCAAAAGGUUCUAAGGGUCAUGCCACAUGGGCGCCCAAUUUCUAACAAUUAGCCUCUUGUGCUUCUGUUUUUGGACUCUAGUCCGAACUGAAAAUGGCCUUAUUUUGACCCCCUCUUCAUAUUUAAUUAAGGGUCUUUUACUGUUUGAGGCAUCCUUUUUGUACUUUGUGUUAUAGCUCUCUUUU